rnacentral:rRNA from 1 species
UACGUAGGUGGCAAGCGUUGUCCGGAUUUACUGGGCGUAAAGCGCGCGCAGGCGGACUGAUCAGUCUGGGGUGAAAUCUCCCGGCUCAACUGGGAGCGGUCCCUGGAUACUGUCAGUCUUGAGAGACCUAGAGGAGAGCGGAAUUCCCGGUGUAGUGGUGGAAUGCGUAGAUAUCGGGAAGAGCACCAGUGGCGAAAGCGGCUCUCUGGGGGUUUUCUGACGCUGAGGCGCGAAAGCGUGGGGAGCGAACCGG